rnacentral:rRNA from 1 species
CCUACGGGUGGCAGCAGUGGGGAAUAUUGCACAAUGGGGGAAACCCUGAUGCAGCGACGCCGCGUGAGUGAGGCAGUAUUUCGGUAUGUAAAGCUCUAUCAGCAGGGAAGAAAAUGCCGGUACCUGACUAAGAAGCCCCGGCUACCUACGUGCCAGCAGCCGCGGUAAUACGUAGGGGGCAAGCGUUAUCCGGAUUUACUGGGUGUAAAGGGAGCGUAGACGGCUAAUCAAGUCAGAAGUGAAAACCCAGGGCUCAACCUUGGGACUGCUUUUGAAACUGAGUAGCUAGAGUGCAGGAGAGGUAAGCGGAAUUCCGAGUGUAGCGGUGAAAUGCGUAGAGAUUAGGAGGAACACCAGUGGCGAAGGCGGCUUACUGGACUGCAACUGACGCUCAUGCACGAAAGUGUGGGUAUCGAACAGGAUUAGAUACCCUAGUAGUC